rnacentral:rRNA from 1 species
GAUGAACGCUAGCGGGAGGCUUAACACAUGCAAGUCGAGCGGGAUUAGCAGCAAUGCUAUGAGAGCGGCGCACGGGUGCGUAACGCGUAUGCAACCUGCCUUAUACAGGGGAAUAGCCCAUGGAAACGUGGAUUAAUGUCCCAUAGGGUCACGAUAUCGCAUGGUAUUGUGAUUAAAACUGAGGUGGUAUAAGAUGGGCAUGCGUCUGAUUAGGUAGUUGGUGAGGUAAUGGCUCACCAAGCCGACGACCAGUAGGGGUUCUGAGAGGAUUACCCCCCACACUGGUACUGAGACACGGACCAGACUCCUACGGGAGGCAGCAGUGAGGAAUAUUGGUCAAUGGCCGGAAGGCUGAACCAGCCAUCCCGCGUGCAGGAUGACGGCCCUAUGGGUUGUAAACUGCUUUUGUACCUGAAGAAACCUGGUUGCGAGUAACCAGUUGCCGGUAAGGUAUGAAUAAGCAUCGGCUAACUCCGUGCCAGCCGCCGCAGUAA